CCUCAUUAUUCACCCCAGUCAGUAAAUUCAAGAUUGGGUGGUGCGGCGAGAGGUGUAAUGGAAAUUCUGCUCUGUUGAUUCCCCAAGAAUGGACCUUUGAGUUGCAGGCGACCCCUGCCCGGCCGUAGGAAAGAAAGCAGCAGAAUUGGGGUGAAGCCGCGGUGUCUGUGCUGCAUCCAGAGGGAGGCCAAGGCCCCUGGACAGCUCCGUCCCACCACCCACACGAGCAGCCCGAACCCAGUGACUUACAUCAGCUGUGGGAGAUUCACAAUUAUCAACUUGAAGAGCAUAUUACAUCCUGAGAAGAGUGACCAUGUGACCAGCACCAGGUUCAAGGAAGACCCCUGGACUUGGGAAAUCACUUUACAGGCUCUGCCCUUGAACUGACAAAGGUACCCAACACCUCUGCAUUGGAUCCUGCCACAUGACAAGCACCUCCAGCAAAAGUCCCUACAAAAAGCCUGGAGUUCGCACAGAUUGGAUCAACCUGUGAUCACCUGGCACCAGUCACCAGGCUGAGCAGAAUGGAAGGAAUGGGAGGGCCAGAUCCAUCUCACAUGGAGGAUCCUUCCACAGUCCACCAAAUCUCCAGACUGGCAAGGAGCCCGCACAGCAAUGAUAGAGCAAAUCCUUCCUCCUGCUGUGCCCGAUCAGCUCAGGCCCUCUGUCCUGUCCCUGGAAGGUUCUUUCCCAGAGGAAAUAAGGGACCCCAGCGAGCUGGUCCUCCUGACAAACCCACAUCAGAACCCUGGGCUCCCGGGUUCACGCCCGGACACCUCUUUCCACCCUCCACCAUGACCGGGAGCAGCAAGUCUCCGCUCGGAGGAGCCUGUCCUCCAAGCCUGCAGCACAGAGCACUCCUAAGGCUGGUGGCUGUGCCCGGCAGCUGCAGUGCCUGCCUCAGCCUCCCGGGACUCUCUGGAUGCCAUCUCUUGUAAGCUGUGGGGAAAUGGCCCCCAGCGAUGACAACCCUGGUUCCGUCAUGUCUUUCUCAGCUUCUCCGCAAGCUCUUCUGCUUUUCCAGCUUGUGUGUCCCUCUUCUGCUCUUUUCUUCAGCUCUGGAUAAAUGUUUGGGUCUCACGAUAAACAUUUCUAAAGCACUAGACUAGGGUAGUGCUGGGUUCCCAGGAUACAACAGGGUCUCCAUCUUUGUGGGAUCUACAUCCAGCUAGGAAAACUGCUCUAAGAUGGAGCUGACUGAUCUCACAGGGACAGAGGCUUCAAGGAGCCCAGGAGGGUUCAUGACCAGGGUUCAGGGUGUAGUUCCAGCCCCCACCGCUGUCGGGUGCUACCUUCCAUGCGGUGACUCAGGGACCCAAGCUCCUCCCUUCUUUUGGCCCCAUCACCUCCUAGGGCCGUAGAAUCUACCAGAUGCUCUGAUUCUGGCUGGAAGAGGGAAGAGGAGGCACAGAGAGGGUGCUCCUUGGAGGUGCCCCUGGGCCAGGCCUGUAAGAAGCUGGCACCUCCUCCCACUGCUUCUGCUGGUGGGAUCUAUGGCCCACGGCAGCCCCCAGCUGCAAAGCAGGCUCUUGAACAGUCCCUGGGGGUCUGUUGGUGUCAUUGUCUGGCAGAGCCUGCCACAGACAGUACCAAAUCCUAGGUACCGUGAUUUCCCACAUAUACAUACCGAGGAUAAAGUUUGAUGUACGCAUUGGGCAUAAUAAGAGAUUAACAACAACAACUAACAAUAAAAUAGAGCAAUUAUAACAGCACAGAGUAAUAAAAUUAUCAGCAUCACUACUCUUGCAUCUUUGAGGACAUUAUUAAGAAAAAUAAGGGCUAUUUAAAUACAAGCACUACAAGACUGAGACAGUCAAUCCGAUAAUCGACAUGGUUACUAAGCAACUAACGGGCGGGUAGUGCAUACCGCAUGGAUACACCGGACAAGGGGUGACUCACACCCCAGGCAGGAUGGGGUGAAACUGCGGGACAUCUCAUCACACUUCGCGGAACUUCAUGCAAUUUAAAUGAUGAAUUGUUUGUUUCUGAAAUUUUCCAUUUAAUUCUUUCUGACAGUUGUGCAUAAGUGAAACCAUGGAAAGCGUAGAGAAGGGGGGACAUCAAUUGUAACCCCACCCCCGCCUCACACUCCUGUUUUGAAGAGCAGGAUUUGUUUUGAUACAAGCAUAAUUAACACAUAUUCAGUAAACACCUUAUGUCACAAAUUGUACCAAGCUCCUCGCUAUUAAACUCUGCAGAUGGCUUCUGGUACAAAUAUUUAUGAGUCUUGUUUCAGUGGCAUAUGGUCCAAGAGGCGAGAGCAACGUGAGUGUUGGAUGUGCCCCUGCCCCUC